rnacentral:rRNA from 1 species
UGGGGAAUAUUGGACAAUGGGCGAAAGCCUGAUCCAGCAAUGCCGCGUGUGUGAAGAAGGCCUGCGGGUUGUAAAGCACUUUCAGUUGGGAAGAUAAUGACGUUACCAACAGAAGAAGCACCGGCUAACUCCGUGCCAGCAGCCGCGGUAAUACGGAGGGUGCGAGCGUUAAUCGGAAUUACUGGGCGUAAAGCGCGCGUAGGCGGCUUCGUCAGUCAGAUGUGAAAGCCCCGGGCUUAACCUGGGAAUUGCAUUUGAUACUGCGGGGCUAGAGUAUGGUAGAGGGUAGUGGAAUUCCAGGUGUAGCGGUGAAAUGCGUAGAUAUCUGGAGGAACAUCAGUGGCGAAGGCGGCUACCUGGACCAAUACUGACGCUGAGGUGCGAAAGCGUGGGGAGCAAACA